ensembl:snRNA U6 U6 spliceosomal RNA
AUGUUUGCUCUCUUCAGUAACAUAUAUACUGAAACUGAAACAAUUCAGAGAAGAUUCACAUGGCCGCUGGACAAGGAGAAUAUUGUAAGUUCUACAAACAGCCCUUCUAAUU